UACAGAGGGUGCAAGCGUUAAUCGGAAUUACUGGGCGUAAAGCGCGCGUAGGUGGUUUGAUAAGUUGGAUGUGAAAGCCCUGGGCUCAACCUGGGAACUGCAUCCAAAACUGUCUGGCUAGAGUACGGUAGAGGGUGGUGGAAUUUCCUGUGUAGCGGUGAAAUGCGUAGAUAUAGGAAGGAACACCAGUGGCGAAGGCGACCACCUGGACUGAUACUGACACUGAGGUGCGAAAGCGUGGGGAGCAAACAGG
rnacentral:rRNA from 1 species